CACACGAAUGUAAACACUGAUGUCCUGCCAGCACGUUCACAAUUCAAGUUACACAAUACGCAAUGUGACAUAAGACGAAACUUCCCAACGCGUCUGGCUCGUAAAUGAAGAAAGGGGCUAGCUCCUCCCCCUCUUCCUCCAGGGCCUCUGAGAUUGGCCCGUGGGACUGUAGUUCCUCCCCCCUGCCGGCUCGUGAUAGGACCUCCAUCCAGCGUCGCUGCAGCUCCUCGCUGUCGGCGCUGAAGUAGACCGUCAGGUGACUCUGGCUCAUCUUGAAGGCAUGGCGGCGCUCCAGCCGGUCACAUGGCUCUGGGAGGGAGACUUCGAACCCAAUAAGAGGAAUACUGCGCUGGGCUUUCACAUCCUGAGCAUGACACAAGAAGAGAACAAACGAAUCAGCUGAUGCCUCAAGCGGCCGUGCAUAUGAAACAUGUCUCUUGUUUCUUAGUUUGUUGACCUUGCACAUGAAUGCACGUGAAAAAAGAGGAAUACAACUUUCAUAUGUGACCCAAGUUAAACUGUAUUGUACAAUGUAGGCAAUAAAACACAUGAGGUUAUUAAGUUAA